UAUUCUGCCCCACGGGGAAGGAUGAGAAGCUUCGACUAAGGUUCGACUCGAGCGAAGCGAGAGAACGUUGCCGCAGGCAACGGCCCGAAGGGCGAGGAGCGAUAGCGACGAGUUAUCCUUCCCCCACCACCG
rnacentral:sRNA from 1 species